rnacentral:snoRNA from 1 species
GAGUGAUAUAAUGGCAGGUAUUCACUGAAUCAAAAAUUGAUAUGAGUUCUAAAAUUACACUGAGAACUU